CAUUGUAAUUUGUAGAGGAUGCUUUGGGGCAGCCGCCUGUCUAAGUUCCUUGGAACAGGACGUCAUAGAGGGUGAGAAUCCCGUAUGUGACAGGACAUGGCACCCUAUGUAAAGCUCCUUCGACGAGUCGAGUUGUUUGGGAAUGCAGCUCUAAAUGGGAGGUAAAUUUCUUCUAAAGCUAAAUACCGGCGAGAGACCGAUAGCGCACAAGUAGAGUGAUCGAAAGAUGAAAAGCACUUUGGAAAGAGAGUUAAAAAGCACGUGAAAUUGUUGAAAGGGAAGCGCUUGCAAUCAGACUUGUUUAAACUGUUCGGCCGGUCUUCUGACCGGUUUACUCAGUUUGGACAGGCCAGCAUCAGUUUCGGCGGCCGGAUAAAGGCCCUAGGAAUGUGACCCCCUCUUCGGAGGGGGUGUUAUAGCCUGGGGUGUAAUACGGCCAGCCGGGACUGAGGUCCGCGCUUCGGCUAGGAUGCUGGCGUAAUGGUUGUAAGCGACCCGUCUUGAAACACGGACCAAGGAGUCUAACAUCUAU
rnacentral:rRNA from 1 species